GACGAACGCUGGCGGCGUGCCUAAUACAUGCAAGUUGAGCGCUGAAGGUUGGUCCUUGUACCAACUGGAUGAGCAGCGAACGGGUGAGUAACGCGUGGGGAAUCUGCCUUUGAGCGGGGGACAACAUUUGGAAACGAAUGCUAAUACCGCAUAAAAACUUUAAACACAAGUUUUAAGUUUGAAAGAUGCAAUUGCAUCACUCAAAGAUGAUCCCGCGUUGUAUUAGCUAGUUGGUGAGGUAAAGGCUCACCAAGGCGAUGAUACAUAGCCGACCUGAGAGGGUGAUCGGCCACAUUGGGACUGGGACACGGCCCAAACGCCUACGGGAGGCAGCAGUAGGGAAUCUUCGGAAAUGGACGAAAGUCUGACCGAGCAACGCCGCGUGAGUGAAGAAGGUUUUCGGAUCGUAAAACUCUGUUGGUAGAGAAGAACGUUGGUGAGAGUGGAAAGCUCAUCAAGUGACGGUAACUACCCAGAAAGGGACGGCUAACUACGUG
rnacentral:rRNA from 1 species